AACUAUCUCACCCUCUAAGCUUGAGAAAUCAUAAUUUGACACCUUUAACCUCUCUUUAAUAGUGUUGGGACACCUCAUAAAGACCAAUGAGUCUUUGAAAAAAUAGAAAAAAGAAAAAGAAAAAGAAAAAAAAAAUAUAGAAUAAACUUCUUUGCUUGCCUUGAAACCUGAGCAUGGUCCGAAGGGGUGGCGAAAACCUUUAAAGCCUGGUGCCCUAAGCCUUUAUUGGUUGGGAGUCACCGAUCCUCUGCUUGUUACAUGGGUGAAUUGGUUAAGUUUAGUAAGUGAAAAGAAUUGUGAAUAAGAGGUGUGUUCCUAGCCUAUCAAGAGAUGGUUAAUUUUGCUAAGCUUAAAGAAAGACUUAGGUUGGGGGGAGAUGAUAGUUAUCCAUACUAUACUCGGAAGCUAAUCACAUUAACACUUAGCUUUUAGUGGAAGAAUUUGAUUUGGAUCUUUUGAGAGUGGAA
rnacentral:lncRNA from 1 species